rnacentral:lncRNA from 1 species
CGAGUGUCUAAUUUUCGAGAAUUUCUUGGUUAAGUAACUGUGUUUGAAACUGAAGAAUACCUGUAUAAUGAGAUUUCUUUCACAGCUCAUCACUUGGGUAUUAUUACGCCGAAUCCCCCUCGCUCCAGGUUCAUAAAUGAUAUUGUUAUAUAGUUAGUGUCAACGUUCAAUUUUUCUGUUUGCCGAUUGGUCAAAACCGUGUCACGUGCCGGUCCACAAAACGUCAUGUUCGGCAACCGGUCCGCAAUGAAACAUUUAUUGAUCGGCCAAUAAUAAAAUGGGUGCAAUACGCUUGCGUGCGAACCACG